rnacentral:rRNA from 1 species
AGAGUUUGAUCCUGGCUCAGAUUGAACGCUGGCGGCAGGCUUAACACAUGCAAGUCGAGCGGAGAUGAGGUGCUUGCACCUUAUCUUAGCGGCGGACGGGUGAGUAAUGCUUAGGAAUCUGCCUAUUAGUGGGGGACAACAUUCCGAAAGGAAUGCUAAUACCGCAUACGUCCUACGGGAGAAAGCAGGGGAUCUUCGGACCUUGCGCUAAUAGAUGAGCCUAAGUCGGAUUAGCUAGUUGGUGGGGUAAAGGCCUACCAAGGCGACGAUCUGUAGCGGGUCUGAGAGGAUGAUCCGCCACACUGGGACUGAGACACGGCCCAGACUCCUACGGGAGGCAGCAGUGGGGAAUAUUGGACAAUGGGGGGAACCCUGAUCCAGCCAUGCCGCGUGUGUGAAGAAGGCCUUAUGGUUGUAAAGCACUUUAAGCGAGGAGGAGGCUACUGAGACUAAUACUCUUGGAUAGUGGACGUACUCGCAGAAUAAGCACCGGCUAACUCUGUGCCAGCAGCCGCGGUAAUACAGAGGGUGCGAGCGUUAAUCGGAUUUACUGGGCGUAAAGCGUGCGUAGGCGGCUUUUUAAGU